rnacentral:lncRNA from 1 species
CCCCCCGCCCCCCACCGCCCGCCCCUUUCCACAAAUGCCACCAAUCAAGCCAUUUCUUUCUCAAGGGGAACUGAGUGAUUUGCAGGGUUUGGGGAAGGUUGCCUGUGCCUAAAGCAUCAUUCCGUCCCACUCUGGACUCAGGAUGGGCAACAGCUCAUCUCUGCUUGGUAAGGUCUACAGCUUCAACUGAGGACUUUAAUCCUGAGGGUAACUCAAGAGCAGGAGCAGGAAACAUCAGCGGCCAUCCUCACUCCUGCAUGUCUGGCCAUUGGUGCUGCCUGUCAGGUGCUGUGCACGGAGCUCGACUAUCCUGAAUCCACCAUGAUUCGACCUCAUGUCAGUCCUUUGGCUGCCAGCCCAGUUCAACUCCAAGCUGAUGACCAGUGUCGACCGCCAGUCAUUCUGAACAUUUGACCAGUUGAGCUUUCAAAUGAUGGCAGUCCUGGCUGACAUUUUGGGUGAACAAUAUGAGAGACUGACUGGUUGAGCCCUUCCCAAAUUUCUGACCCACAACAUUGUGAGAAAAAUAAUCUUAAGCCUCUCAGUUUGGGGACAAUUUGUUACUCAGCAAUAGAAAUGAAAAUAUGAUCUCAGUAGGACCAUGUGACUUGCAGCAACCAGGGUGACAAUGAACGUCCCUGCAGAUACCCGAGGAGGGGACGCAUGAAGGUUCCCUAGGUGCCCUGUAAAUCUACAGCUUCCUGCUUUCCUCUGCCACAAACACAUGACACGCUGUACCUCUACACCUAAUCUUUUGGUUUGGAAAGGAACGGAAGGUGAUAGAAAUCUGAAAGUUGCGACUGAGGUUUACCAUCCUAAACACAUUAUUUCAGGAGACUAACUCCAAGAUGAUUGGCAUGAACUAGAAUUUUUCUCCCCUUUCUUAUAAAGCAAAUGGGACAGCUCAGGAGGAAGAUCGGAGCAGUUAUAUACAAAAAAUUAACACACAAAUGAAGCAACCACGUGGCCUCUGUGUAUAUGGAGAAAAGUGUGAGCAAAUGUGGGGCCCUAAUACAGAAUGUCAGCCAGGAAGACGAGGAAGGCAGACCUCCCUAGAACAGUGGUACAAGACAUUGGUGGUCAUCUUAACAGAUGUGCACUGACUGAUAUCCUUCAGAAUAGGAAGGAAAUGUGAGAUCUUAAGAAGGAAUUCUAGGGGAGGUCUCAGCUUUACCCCCUGUGACUUGCACUUGGUCAGUAUACAACUUAUUCUUCCCACCAGAGUGAUAGAAAGAAAAAAAGAAACUGAGUUCUGUAUGUUGAGAAAUAUCAUCUUGGCCUUUAAAUUAUUUUAAAAUUAUAGCAACAUGAGUCUUCCUGAAACUUUAUUACUGUAUUUUCUAAAACAUGAUUCCUUCUGGUCUAGGUACUCACCAUCACUCUGAAGGAGCUUCUCACCUCAAGGUGGAGCUCCCCAAAUACAUGUUGGAUUUGUAGUUAAAAACCCACCUGCAGCAGAUAGGCGUGAGGUGGGUGGCAGAAGGGGAGGGGCAGCGCCGGAGGUUGGGUGCUCAGCCUUGGGCUGGAAAUGAGCAAUCAAUAUGCUAAGUACAUGUAAGCCCCAUGCAAAUCAGCACCUAACCUUUUUGAAGGAAAUGUCUGCACCCUUUGCACAAAGGGCUGAGUAGGGACCACCGUUGGGGUUUUCCUGCACCUGUAGGCUGUAAGCUGGAGAGUAAAGGCAAGAAAGCUAAUAUUUUUUUAAGAUUUUAAAACAACCAACAGAACGUGUUCUCCCUUUGUAUCUGAGCAACCAGGAAGCUUCACACACAUACGUGCACACACACAUACACACCUGCUUUCUAUCUAACUAGUAAUUGUGAAAAUAAUAAGACCCCCAGUGAGGGUGGGGGGGUGGACGAGUUGGUAAGUUUCAG